rnacentral:rRNA from 1 species
UGGCUUCGUAAGGUAGGGGGUGUUCUCCUGUCCCUUCUUAGAACAAGCGCAACUCGGCGGCGUCUGGAAGGGAAAGGGGUGCGGGUCCGCUAGGGGAGUUUAGGGGGCGUGGUAGGGGGAGAGGAAGCUAGCCUAGGCGGGCGGGCGGGCGGACGGCGUGGCCAGCUAGCUGCUACUGCGACCCGUCGAGGCCGCGGCCUAGCUCGCAGCAGCAAGGAGCCUUGAAGUCCGACGAUCUUCUCGAACUCGCGCCCCUCUUCCCGUAACCUCUACCUUGCCAGUCGAUACCUUACCUACUACGACUACUGUAUAUGUACGCCAGUACCUGACCGUGGUAAUAACCAGGAGUGUUAUGACAGGUACUCCCAGCGUAGAUGGUCGACUUCGACAAGACACUGUUCCUGAUGGGGCUCUUCCGUGGUAGACAAUCUAAAGUAAGUUCUUAGUUGUACCGAACACAAUUAGUGCUCUGGCCCCGCCAACUGGGCUUCUUCAAGUCACACGACCGCUUGACCGUCGCUCUCAUGUGAUACCUUGUACAGAACUGGGUCGACUUCUUUCUA